rnacentral:rRNA from 1 species
CAAAGCUCUCAUCUGGGCAAAUGAAUGACUGGUAGAGUGAGAUGAACAAGCCAGAUAGUCAGUAACACGUUUGUUUCCUUUUUUGGUCCCCUCGGACAUUUUUACAGUUGUCCCUAGAGUCAAAUCCACGUGUGAAAGAGGAAAAACAGGUGGUCAGAUAUAAAACUGAUCCUCGUAUAUUCCCGGUACAUUUGAACGCAGCACCAGCGACGAAUAGACGUGGUCGGCACCAGUAUGACUGCUGCAGCAGGAAAAUGUGUUAUGACGACCACGAUGGUGACAACAACGCUGCUACACAGCCGACACAUUGUGGACGAUUUGGAAUCGAUGCAGCGCAUCAAGCCAUCCAUGCAAUUAGCAAAAGUGAGCAUCACCGUCCACUCCUCCCGUCGUCCACAGUUCGGCCGGCGACUGUCGUCCGUACAGCAAUUUCGUGGUGACAAAGAAGUCCGUGCAGAUUCAACAAGCAUUGCUGGCCGAUGCUUACCGUCCACCAAUAUUUCCAAAGAACUGGUCUUUCCCCACCAGUUCGUCCUUCGCACUCCACAGUCACGGGUCUUUCCUGAUAAAGAAAUGCUCUGCAAUCAACACACUAUUACUUGUCAACUCAGACACGAAAUAUCAAGACUUUUCUCUCCACCCAGCAACAUGCUCUCUCUAGUACGAUUUACAUGACUGGAGUGGGAGAGAGCCCAGCGACGAGUCGCGCGCUGACAUUGAGGACUUGAAGAAUUUGUGGGAGCAGAGUACCGAAACAGCGAGUAUCAAGCAGAAGGCAUGCAUCCCCUCGAUCGGUGAGUAUCUCCCCUUUUCAAUUCUCCUCGGUACAAGUGUUCAGCUCAUUUUUAGCUCCCACUCUCGUCAGAUCUAUCUGCUAUGAGCCUAUGACUAAUUCACUGGUGGAAUUGGAAGCUCAAGCGCAGUCAUCAUCAUACUAACCGGAGGUUGUCCAAAUAAUCAGUCUAGCUAUUGGCUCUCCAAAAAAAAAAGUACAACAGACAGGGAAAUUUCUAAUAUAUGUUAUUUUUAAACAAACUAUGUAGGGAGCAGAUACAAGGAGGAGCAAUCAAUGGCUGGGUCUGCUGUUAAGGCCGUCAUCAGGAAUGUGAGCAAACUUGCGGUUUGGGAAACCUCACUUUUAUGUGGUGUCACUGGUGAAGUAGGAUUCUUGAAAGAUGAACUGAAGCGGCUAAAGUGCUACCUUAGAUCUGCUGAUGCUAAACGGAGAUCAGGAGAUGAGUGUGUGGCUACCUGGGUCAGCCAGAUCAGGGACGUGACAUAUGAGUCCGAGAAUGUCAUUGAAGCUGCAGAUUACAUGGAGAAGAGAAACAGGCUGAAGAAUGGAUUCUUGGGUGCCAUUUCAAGGUAUGCUCGCUUGCCAAGUGACAUGGUUACCCUUCAUAAAGUUGGUGUCGAAAUCCAGCGUAUAAGAAGGAAGAUCGGUGAGAUAUUUGACAAUGCAAACCGUUUGAAUAUUGAUUUGGAUACUGGUGUUCUAGGCAAGUGCUGUGCCGAGGAUGAGUUUCCACGAGGCAAUGAUCUCAUGGAUCAAAACUUUGAGGAUGAUGUUGUCAUUGUUGGUUUUGAGGAUAAGUGCCAAGAAAUAACGGACAGGUUAGUUGACAAAGAGAACAAUACUCUUAGUGCUAUCUCCAUAGUCGCCAUGGGUGGGGCGGGAAAAACAUCACUCGUCAGAAAAAUCUACACAUCAUCAAGAGUAAAAGAACACUUCGACACAGUUGCUUGGGUGACUGUGUCUCAAAAGUUCAAGGCCGUUGAUUUACUAACAAGUGUUGUGGAACAAAUAAUGGGGACCAGAGUUGGUUUUAAUCUCCGUUAGUGUGAGGUGGGAAAGGAGAUACAUGAUUUUCUGUUGCAAAAAAGAUUCUUAAUAGUUUUCGAUGAUGUUUGGGAAACAGAUACAUGGGAGCAAAUAAACAAAAUGGUUAAAGCAUUUCCAGAUGUAGCUAAUGGUAGUCGAGUACUGUUAACCACACGAAAGCAAGAUGUUGCGAAUCAUGUGCAAAUGCCAACUCAUGUUCAUCAUUUGAAGAAGUUAAACGAAGAGAAAAGCUGGGAACUUUUUAGUAGCAAAGCUUUACCAUCAUACAACAGGUGUUCUGUAUGCGAUGUGGAUGAGUUUGAAGAACUAGGAAAGAAGCUUGCAAAGAAAUGUAAUGGAUUACCACUUGCACUUGCAGUUUUUGGGGGUUAUCUAUCAAAAAAUCUGAACAAGGAAACAUGGAUUGAUAUACUCUUGAGCUGGCCAUCAACCAAAGACGGACAGAUGAUGCGAGACAUACUAGCUCGCAGUUACAACGACCUACAAGACCAUUAUUUAAGAUCAUGUUUCCUCUAUGUUGGUGCUUUCCCCGAGGAUUAUGAAAUAUCUGUGUCGGAUCUUAUUGAGUUAUGGAUGGCAGAAUGCUUCAUUCCACAUACACCAAGACAUACACUGGAAGAAAUAGCACGUAAGUAUGUAACUGAGUUAGCUCAAAGAAGCUUGGUCCAAGUUGUUAGUAGAAGCAGAGCACAUGGAUGGAUUGAAAGAAUAAGGAUCCAUGAUAUCUUGCGUGACUGGUGCAUAGAAGAAGCAAGAGAAGACGGCUUUCUUGACAUGAUUGACAAAACUGCAUGUCAGGCUUCCUCUCUCUUUUCAUAUAGCCCUUUUUUUGGUUUCAAUAUAUGUCUUAGUAUGGUGUUUCUUGCUGACACGUGGAUGCACUUUAUAAUGCAGGCUAGGAUAGCGCAUCGUCAUCCGAAAGGACGCUAUCCUAUCGCGCUUCAUUCCAAAACUUCAGCGGUCAGAUUUCACAGGCAACAACUCCUAAUCUACGAACUCUGGUUGGCUUUGAACUUUCAUCAAUAUUCCUACCUAAGCUGAGAUUCCUGAGAGUUCUUCACAUUGAAAACUCAGACCUCGAGGGUUUCUCUCCAGCCAUUGGUGGGUGCAUUCAUCUAAGGUGCCUUAGGUUGAGAAGAUGUGGAAAUGUAACACUCCCUUCUUCAAUUGAAGAACUCCUUUACUUGCAGAUUAUAGACCUGAGGAAAACAAACUUGGACUCAACAGUACCAAACUCUCUUUGGAAUAUUCCCACUCUAAGGCAUGUUUACCUGAGCAGUGCAUUUUCUUCACCAAGGAGUGUGGGACACAAAGAUCUCCAGACCUUAUGGUUGACUUGUGCAUCUGCUGGUACCAAAUAUCGCUAUCAUGACAUGGUGAAAAUUUUCAGAAAAAUGAGACAACUAACAACCUUGUUCUUGGUAAUGAAGCCCAUGCAUGCUAAGAUAAUGAAUAUAUUUGCGUACAUGCCUCACCUGGUUGAUAUUCAUCUCGCCAGUUUUGGUGUGCUUGAUAAGCUUCCAGAGAGUAAUCACUUCCCGCAGAGCCUUCGGCAUCUCUAUCUAGAAGCUGAUGUCAUUGAAAUAGACCCGAUGCCGAUCCUGGAGAAGCUUCCCUGUCUUGUGGUAUUGGAGUUGUCAGGGUAUAAAGGUCGAACCAUGUCGUUCUCUGCCCAAGGGUUUCCUCGCCUACAAGAGUUAAAACUUGAUAUUUUCUCCAUCGAGGAGUGGAGGAUGGAGGUAGGAACAAUGCCAAAGCUCUCCCACCUGACACUUUGGUUGUGCAAGGAGAUGUGGAAGUUCCCAAGCGGAUUGCUGCACCUUCCAUCCCUCAAGAAUUUGAAACUAAUGAGUAAGUCCCUGAUUUCUGGAGAUGACAGCACACUGAAGGAGCUGGAGCGGAGAGGAUGCAAGGUACUGUAGCUUACUAUGCCCUCAUGUUCUUCUUUAAUAUUUACUGCUGUUUACGGUCAGAUAUUACAGUCCCCGUAUAUUUUCAGUACAAGGACCGAGAUACUCAUAAUAAAGUUCUGUUUUAAACUUAUCUGUGACUUGCUCUCCAUCCUUCCCUGCCUUGCUUGUUUGGAAUGAUGGUUUAGGAUAAACAGUUUGCGCACUCAAGUUAUUUUCUGUUUUUUUUUCCUUGCAGGUGGAACUUUAAAGAAGGUUUACGAGCUUCUUGCUGGUGGAACUUUAAGAAGAUUUACGAGUGGCGGACAUGUCUAAGUAUUAUUACUACUAUUCCUAAUUCAGAUGUCUUUGUCCCCUUGUUGCGGUGGUAUGAGAGAAGGAUGCAUCCUUUCUGAAUGUAUCUUUUUCGCCCUUCCUCAAAUUAUGUGCAUAUUGUAUGUUUUGCCUGAAUGUAAUAUAAUACAAAGGGCGAUACGUCUAACCACCGGUGAAUCUAGAUGAUGAUGUGCGUAUCUAUAUUUCUGAUUUGAACCGUCGAUGGAUUUUGAUUCCCACAAACAAAACUGAUGUGUUAUUUAUCGAAAAAAAUGUAUUUUUCUCUCUUGACAUGGUGAGCACUCACUUAUCAGCUCGUGCAAUGUCAGUCAGUUUGGUUCAUUUCACUGAAUGCCAAGUUCUAGACUCGGAUGCCCCAGGUUCUGCUUCCCUUUUUCCCCUUUGUGCUACACCUGACGGUACACUAACUUUAUUUUGGUUGUAUUCUGCACGCAGCUACAAACUAUACAACGACAGCAAAAAAAAUCUUAAACACCAUCCACAGUCAACUAAUUUUAAGCAUUGUACUACUCGUAGAUUUUUUUGUGUAACAUUGCAGGGAUUGCAGAGGAGGGGGGUGUGGCGGAGCAGUAGCAACAGUAAGUAGUACCGACUACCGGGAGCUCACAGCUUCCGCAGAUCAAAUACGUCGGCGAGGCAAAGGAUGGCCGGCGCCCGGCGGCAUCCUCCUGCCUGCGUUACGGCCAGCAUCUUCAAGCUCUGAUAAGCAAAUCCUGCAUACCACCACCACCGUGGCAGCAUCAAACUUCUCAUCAGGCGGAUACAAAUAGAGGGAGAGGCAGGGAUUGGGGAGAAAGGAAAGGAGGGGACUUUACGAGCUCGGGUACGGGGAGGGUCACGAGCCCUCCUGAUGCCCGGUGCUGCUGCUGCUCUCUAUGGCUGUCGGAGGUGGAUUUUCGCCGGCGCCAUGACCAGUGGGGGGAGAAAGAGGAGAGAAAUUAUCUACCUAGUGCUCCCCUCCGUCUGGUCACCGCUCCUUUCUCUCCCUCCCCUCUGUCACCGCCGGUGGUAGGCGCCGGGCUUAGCCUGUGCGUGCGCCGGCAGCGUCGGAGGCACUCCUCCUUCUCACGGGUCAAAGGGUGACGCGGGGCUCCCUGGCUCGAGAGUGUGACUCCGAUCUGGGCUGCGGCGGCGCCGAUCUGGUUCAUGACAACCCAGAUCUAAACUACGGCGGUGUGGCGGUUGGCCGGCGUCCUAUCGACGGCGGUGGCAGGGCUGGCGCUGCUCCUCCCGAUCUAGGGCGGAGGGACUUGGAUCCGAGGCGACGACCCCGAGGUUGGCCUUCAUGUCCGGUGGCGCGGCAGGGCGGGUAGGCUGCCGGCUCAGAUGGUCGGCGAUCCACCGGCGAGUUGGUGCCUCAGUGACCAACAGCGUUGAGCUGCUUCUUCCUCCAAUACUUGCAUCGUGCACUCUUGUCGUAACGAAUAUGGCUGUGCUGCUUGCCGGUCGCCGGGUGGGGCGGAACGGGAGGUGGGGAUUCGGAUUGGGAUAAUUCCCUGGUUGGCUGGCUCCUGCCGGCCGCGUCUUCCUAGAGACGUCGUUUGGGUUUGCCCCAUCUUUUUUCAUUCCACGGUUUCUCGGAUGAAACCCUAGGACAGUGACGACAUUCUUGGCGCGGUGUCUUUUUUGAAGGCGUUGUCGUGAGAGCUAAGUGCUCGU